AUACGUAGGGGGCGAGCGUUGUCCGGAAUUAUUGGGCGUAAAGCGCGCGCAGGCGGUUCCUUAAGUCUGAUGUGAAAGCCCGCGGCUUAACCGCGGAGGGUCAUUGGAAACUGGGGAACUUGAGUGCAGAAGAGGAGAGUGGAAUUCCAUGUGUAGCGGUGAAAUGCGUAGAGAUAUGGAGGAACACCAGUGGCGAAGGCGGCUCUCUGGUCUGCAACUGACGCUGAGGCGCGAAAGCGUGGGGAGCAAACAGGAUUAGAUACCCUGGUAGUCCACGCCGUAAACGAUGAGUGCUAAGUGUUAGAGGGUUUCCACCCUUUAGUGCUGUAGCUAACGCGUUAAGCACUCCGCCUGGGGAGUACGGCCGCAAGGCUGAA
rnacentral:rRNA from 1 species